rnacentral:rRNA from 1 species
AGUGAACGCUGGCGGUAGGCCUAACACAUGCAAGUCGAAUGGCAGCACAGUAAGAGCUUGCUCUUACGGGUGGCGAGUGGCGGACGGGUGAGGAAUACAUCGGAAUCUACUUUUUCGUGGGGGAUAACGUAGGGAAACUUACGCUAAUACCGCAUAUGACCUACGGGUGAAAGCAGGGGAUCUUCGCACCUUGCGCGAUUGAAUGAGCCGAUGUCGGAUUAGCUAGUUGGCAGGGUAAAGGCCCACCAAGGCGACGAUCCGUAGCUGGUCUGAGAGGAUGAUCAGCCACACUGGAACUGAGACACGGUCCAGACUCCUACGGGAGGCAGCAGUGGGGAAUAUUGGGCAAUGGGCGCAAGCCUGAUCCAGCAAUACCGCGUGGGUGAAGAAGGCCUUCGGGUUGUAAAGCCCUUUUGUUGGGAAAGAAAAGCAGCAGGUUAAUACCCCGCUGUUCUGACGGUACCCAAAGAGUAAGCACCGGCUAACUUCGUG